rnacentral:rRNA from 1 species
UUGUGCGCCGAAAAUGUAACGGGGCUAAAAUUCAUACCGAAGCUUAGGAAUGAUAGUAAUAUUGUUGGUAGAUGAGCGUUGUGUAAGUCUGCGAAGCUACACCGAAAGGAGUAGUGGAGAUAUCACAAGUGAGAAUGCCGGAAUGAGUAGCGAGAAUUAUGUGAGAAUCAUAAUGGUCGAAAAUCUAAGGUUUCUUGAGGAAGGUUCGUCCGCCCAAGGUAAGCCGGGAGCUAAGGCGAGGCCGAGAGGCGUAGUCGAUGCACAUACGGUAAAGAUUCCGUAGCCACCGAAGUCGUUAAAUACAGGGACACAGGAACAUAGCCCAUCCCCACCGUUGGUUGAGUGGGGCGUAAGGGAGCGAAAAUUAGUAGCGAAGUGGGUGAUUGUACACUGGCGAGAAAAGCUGUAUGAAUUGACCAGGUGCCCGUACCGCAAACCGACACAGGUAGAUGAGGAGAGAAUCCUAAGACCAGCGGGAGAAGUGUUGUUAAGGAACUCGGCAAAAUGACCCCGUAACUUCGGGAUAAGGGGAGCCUACGAGAGUAGGCCGCAGAGAAUAGUCUCAAGCGACUGUUUAGCAAAAACACAGGUCUAUGCUAAAUCGAAAGAUGAUGUAUAUGGGCUGACGCCUGCCCGGUGCUGGAAGGUUAAGGGGAAGUGUUAGAGCAAUCGAAGCACUGAACUUAAGCCCCAGUAAACGGCGGCCGUAACUAUAACGGUCCUAAGGUAGCGAAAUUCCUUGUCAGGUAAGUUCUGACCCGCACGAAUGGCGUAACGACUUGAGAGCUGUCUCAACAACAUACCCGGCGAAAUUGAAGUACUGGUGAAGAUGCCAGUUACCCGCGAUAAGACGGAAAGACCCCAUGGAGCUUUACUGUAGCUUGAUAUUGAAUUUUUGUAUUACAUGUACAGGAUAGGUGGGAGACAGAGAACUAAUGCCGCCAGGUGUUAGGGAGUCGAUGUUGGGAUACCACUCUUGUAAUAUGAAGGUUCUAACCUGCACCCGUGAAUCCGGGUGGGGGACACUGUCAGGUGGACAGUUUGACUGGGGCGGUCGCCUCCUAAAAGGUAACGGAGGCGUUCAAAGGUUGGUUCAGCACGGACGGAAAUCGUGCAACGAGUGCAAACGCAUAAACCAGCCUAACUGCGAGACCGACAAGUCGAGCAGUAACGAAAGUUGGAGUUAGUGAUCCGG